CCGACGCAGCACAAUAGUAACUCAAGAACGCCUCCAGCGCCCCGGUGCCCAAAAUGUAUAAGAAAUCCGCUCCCCGGCGCUGAGAUGACCUCAAGACUUUGUCCAUUAGUGCCCCGAUGCCUAAUUCCUACCACACCCCAGCGCCCCGGCGCUAGGGGUCCUUGUCAGCUACUGCCCUAUAGCACCCAGGCGCUCCCUUCUAGUUAAAACCCAGCGCCCUGGCGCUGGGGUCAGGUUUAGAAUCCUAUUCGGUUUAAAAAUCUGCAUUGGUCAAACUUCUUAUUCCUUUUAAUUGCUUCCCACGUUUGUAUCACUUGCACCCUUUCCGUUCCCCUUUGUGUAACUGCCCUUCCCCUGCACGUUAAAUAUCCUACAUACUUUUGGAGAUAAGGGUAUUUUGCUUCAAUUGGGUUCUCUUUCUACUUGAUUUCAUUCUCUCCUUCUGUAUAUAAGGUAUGUAUUAUACUUCCUCUGAUCUUAUGCUACUCCCUCUUGCAUGCGUAUGAGUCACUUGAGAUUGGCCUGUCACGCAUAUGUUUUAUUUAAUGGUGAUUGAUAUGCUUGGGGUUUGGAUUGCCAUGAUCAUAUUUGUGCUCAAAGAGAAUUAUAAACUACCCACAAGGUGUUCGAGAUAUUGCCUAUAUUAAUUUUCUUUGCUAAUUUUACCCAACGACAUACCCACCACUGAAUUUAAUUGCAUAAUUUUCAUCCCAAUAACACAGGCAUACCGUUAGACUGGUAUAUCAUUAGAGUGUCGGCUAAAAUGUGUUGGUGCAUACCUGUCUUCAUAUUUAUGAUGGCUAUUGUUCUAGCGGAUUUGUACAUGCAUUGACUAAUUGGUCUUGAACGAUAGAAAUUUUGGCCUACAUGUAAUGACAAUGGUUUUCUUCACUAUCAAUGUACUUAGUGUAUGUUAGGUGCUUGCCAUAUAGUUUGUUUGUCAAUGUCACAUCUUUUAGGAGUACCCUUAUACUUCAUUAGACAAUUAUGCUAUUUAAAUAUGCUUUGGCCAACUUAGACUAAUCGGUGGAAAAUUUGGUACUUUAAUGCUUUGGUGUGCCUAACCACACCCCCAAACCCUUUUACACAUAGCUAUCUUACUUAGAAGUUUAGGGGUCGUGCUAUGGUUACGUAUCUCCCUGUCAUAUUUGUAAAACAAAAUUGUAAUAAGUGUAUAAGUGUUUUUCAUUAUAGAAUAUUCUAGAUGGCCUCGAAGCGUCAACGAGGAGAAGGUUCUGGGUCCGCCUCGGUUCCCCCAAAAUUUGACAACCAACAGUUUGUGAGUGCUGCCGCCCAAGAACGCUACAACCGCAUGGCCACCCGCUCUCUCAUCCCCAAACGCGGUUUAAGGCCAGAUCAAUCCAAGGAUGGGGAUAUAGUGGUCAUGAUUGCUGAGAGGAAUCAGUUCACACUCACUGAACAACCCGACCCGGCAGUGAUUGCAGUCGUUAAAGAGUUCUACGCCAAUAUUUCAGAGCAGUUCCACUAUGGAGUGUAUGUGAGAGGAAAGACAGCUGAAUUUGGUAAGGAGGACAUCAACGAGUGCUACCAACUACCUUUGGAGGGUCAACGCAAUGAAUAUGCUAGCUUUGUGAGCCAUGGACCAGACUAUGAAGUGAUCAUCCAUGAAUUAUGUCAACCGGGAAUAACUUGGAUAAUGUAUGAAUGUGGCAGUAUCACCUUUCCCCAUUUGCGCCUCAGUCUUUAUGGGACGGCUUGGUACGCCUUCAUAGGCGCCAAAUUAAUGCCAUGCACACAUGUUAGCCAUGUCACCAAGGAAAGGGCUGUGUUGCAGUAUUCAAUAAUUCAAGGCUUGAAGAUGGAUGUGGGACUAAUUAUUCAGCAGUCCAUUCUACGAGCUGCCCGAGGAGGUACCACGAGAGGGUUACCCCAUCCUUCUCUUAUUUGUGCUUUAUGUUCUAAGUUUGGGGUCAAUUGGAAGUCGGAUGAAAUGAUUCAGCCCCCAAUGCCGGUUUUAGACCAUAAGAUGAUAAUCAGGUGCCGGGUGUGGACUGGUGGUGCAAAUCACCCACGUGGAUUGGUCUUUAUAAUUCCAUAAACUGCAGCUCCACAGGCUCCACAGGCUCCUGCUCCACCCACUUAUGGUUCCUCCUUUGCGACUCAGCGUGGUGUUGUUCCCGAUACGGUUCAGCGCGAAAUUGACGGUUGGUUCUACAAUCUCGAAGCCUAAAAUGUCCGCCUGUCUGAACGCUAAGAUGUGAUCUACAAGUUUAUAGUUGACUACUUCACCGCCCAGACUGCUAUGUAUGCUCAGUUGUACCCUGGAGUUGAUCUUAGCCAUUUCUCUACUGUUCCUGUUCUGCCUGUGUUUCCCCCUUCUGAUCAAGAGAUGAGCGAGGAUGACGAUGAUGAUGAUGAUGCGCCCGAGGAAUAAGCUCGUUAGGGAAGUCCUCUAUUUUAAAGUGCUAUAUUUAUCGCAUGAGGACAUUGCUCAUUAUAAGUUUUGGGGGUAGCUUAGUUUUAUUUGCAUUUUUAGGUGGUAUGUUUUUGUUAGUUUGUGGAAAUUAGGUUGUGAGUAUGUUUUAGUUUGUUUGUUAAACUUGAUGUUAACUUUUUCGUUAAGUGUUGCAUUUAGGAUUUCACAUAAUUCCAGCUGUUUAAUAGUUUAAGUAUAUUCGGGGCCAAUGAUGAAACUGAAAUUUAAUAAACAAGUCUAUUAAGGAUUGUUAAGCCUGUGAUGUGAUUUCUUGACAUGAUUUAAAUCUUUAUCUGUUUGAAACUGAUAUUAUCAUGAUAACACAUGUUAAGAAACGACCAUGCUGACUGAUUAAGUCUAAAUGGAUAGAUAAUGGAUUUCUAAAGGAUAAAUGCUAGUUGAAUGAAAGAAUAAUAAGAAUAGGUAGUGAUGGUUGAAGUUAGGCAUGAAUUUAAGUUUGGGGGAAAUAUUUGGGAUAUAUAAGCUUGUUUUUUUUAAAAAAACAAAUAAAAAAAAUCGUGGCUAGUCUUGUUUCAGGGCCUUUGUUACUUGAGUAAAUAAGCCCGAGGGAGUGUCUCUACACUUAGUGCCUUAAGGUCUUAUAUGGUCUGAGAGUCGUUGGUCGAAAGCCCGCUAAGGGGUAGCACUGUUAGUCUAAUGGAAUGAGACAUUGCACAGUCACGGGAAAUGAAAAAAAAAUAUAUAAUAAUAAUGAAUAAAACGGGAAAAAGUACAAAAGUCCUUGUUAAAAAAAAUAUAAUAAAAUAAAAUAAAAAUAAAGCAUAAGUAUCCCAUCUUGACCCCUGGACUUUGAUAAGUGUGUGAUUUUAGUUGGAUCUAGUUUGUUUUUGGAGUUCUCGAGUUUAUACUGUGUGAUGCCUUCCAAGAAAUCUAUUAUUUUCAUCAGUUAGCAUGGUUGUUAAGCAAACACACACGAUAUCAGUAAUAACAGGUUUAGAUUUGAUGAUUGUUGGAAUAUUAUUGAUCUGUCUUGAUAUGAUGUACUGGCAUGUUAUUGUGAUUUUUUGGAGGCUUGAUGAGUAUACUUUGUUCUGUUUGAUCGCUGGAAUCGUAAACAUGUAGUUAGUAUAUUUGCAUUUGCAUGGUAUAUCUAAUUUUCUUUUAUUGCAUUAUGUUUUGUUACUCGAGGACAAGCAACGGUUUAAGUUUGGGGGUAUUUGAUGAAUGGGAAAUAUACCCAUGAAUUGGAUACAUUCAGGCUUAAAUUAUUGUUGUUCUCAAGUCUUUUAGAAGAAUUUUUACUGUGUUUCAUAUUUAUUUUGCAGAUUGAGGUGGAGUAGGGACAAAUUGGGGAUUUUAGCAUACGUGUGGCAAAAUCGUAAAUUCUUUGAACUACAGCGCUGGGGCGCUACUCCUAACACUAAUCUCAGCGCCGGGGCACUGAGGUCCGAAUUUUGUUGACCGAGGUGCGUGCAUGGGGCAAGAUGUUGACUUGGAUUAGGAUUGGGGAAAGAUGGAAAAGAGUAUUUAAAGAACAAUUAGCUGAAAUUAAAGGACUAAUCAAUCAUAGUUGGAGAUUAAUCAAUUUUUCAUCAGAGAAUUGUGGAAAAGAAUUCCAAUUGAAGAUUGAAGCGUGGAUGAUUUUUUUUUAGAGUUUCUUCUUCUUCUUAUUUUUAAUUGUGUAAUUCUUG
rnacentral:lncRNA from 1 species